rnacentral:rRNA from 1 species
UACGGGGGGGCAAGCGUUGUUCGGAAUUACUGGGCGUAAAGGGCUCGUAGGCGGCCAACUAAGUCAGACGUGAAAUCCCCAGGCUCAACCUGGGAACUGCGUCUGAUACUGGAUGGCUUGAAUCCGGGAGAGGGAUGCAGAACUCCAGGUGUAGCGGUGAAAUGCGUAGAUAUCUGGAGGAAUACCGGUGGCGAAGGCGGCAUCCUGGACCGGCAUUGACGCUGAGGAGCGAAAGCCAGGGGAGCAAACGGG